UCAACAAUAUGUAACCAUUAAUAAUAAUUAAUUAUAAGUUUUGAAACAUACAUUUAUUUUAUUAAGCCAACAACUAAACUUUAGUGGUUUAAAAUACAUCAACUAAUUAAUAUAGGAAGGAAUGCUCCUUGAUUCCUUCAUCUUCCCUCACCAAUGCCACUAGAGCCUAAUUUUAAUGUCAUAAUCUCAUAUUUAAUUAUGCAACCUUUUGUUUAGUGUCUUUGGGCUUCUUUAAACUCUAUAAACAUUAAGUAUUUAAGAUUUAAUAUGUUUGGGUUUUUUUAUUAUUUAACUAGCAUCCUCUUUAGAAAUGUUCUUGUUUUUUUAUUUUUUGACUUAUUUGAAUUUUUAGUAUUGUGUGCUUUAUAGAAUACUCUUUUCUUCAUGAGUUGAACAAUGAUAAAGAUAGUUGGAUGAUAAGGGUUAGGUUUUGUAGGAUGUAGGAGUCUGUUAAUACCAAGAAGAAUGGAGAAUUGAUUAGUGUGAACAUAAUUUUUAUUGAUGAAAAGGUUGUGUACACUUAACUAUACACAUUAAUAUAUAUUUUUAAAGUUAACAAAAAAAUAAUUAACUUUCACAAAUAACAUUAGUUUUAUAAGGUUGCGUCAUCUUUAAAAAAAAAUCAAUUCAUAUUUUUUUAUCAGUUUCAUCAAGUGCCAAAUAAAAAAAAAAGAUAAAACUAAAUCCUAAUUUUUAAAGUCGCGCGAAGCCCGGUUCUAUUUCCUAGUUUAACUAUAAUUAUUCUAGCUCCAGGGAAGAAAUUCAACUUGUAUAAUUGUACAGGGCCGAAAAUUUAAUAACAAAAACCUUAUUUAACUAUAAUUAUUCUAGCUUCAGUGAAGAAAUUUAACUUGUAUCAUUGUACAGGGCAAAAAAUUGAACUCCACACUUAAAUAAUCAAAGGAAAAACAACAGAGCAGGAUCAAUAUUCUACAAAAUAACAACCAUCACAUAUCUUUAAUAGAAAAUUUUGUUCUCCCAUCAUUGAGCCAACCACAAUAGAGCAACAUAAACUGAAUUUGUUUAAGUAAUUAUAUCAAAUAAUUAAUAGCCAAUUUUAAAAUCCUUAACUUAACUGGAGGAAAAUAACCCAAACCCUAACUCAACAGCCACUAUAACUAUCAAGAGGCAUAAACAAAAUCAUGAAAGAUAGCCGGCUUGUCUUAGUUGGAGAACGUUGAUGGGUGGCGAUGGUGACAUGAUGCUAGUUAUGUGGCGCAGUGGGGCGAGCACUGAGCAACGAGCAAUUGCAUGGCUGUUAGUGCAAUGGAGACUUGGCAGUGUGGCGGCUAGUGGGGAGCCUGAAGGCUUGGCACGCUGGCUGAUCAACAUCGAUGAUGAGUCAGAUCGGCUUGAUAGUUAGGAGAGAGAAGAGGCUGCUGCUUGAGAAUUGCUGGAGAAUUGAGAGAUGUUUGAGAGUUGAGAGCUUAGGGACGGUGAAAGGGUAAAUAUUAUUUGUAUUUUAAUUUUUUUAAUUGUGCAAUUUGAUCGGAUUUUUGGAUUGGAUUCAAAUCCAAUCCAAAGCCAUGUUUUUUAUUACUAGUGCAUAUACGAGUAGUUUUUGUAUGUUCAGGUAAAAUAACAAUUUAAUUCUUAUUAUGUCAAUAAAGUUAUAACAACAUCUACAUGAAAGUGGAUGCGCGUAAGAAAAUAUAAUUUCAGGUGAAAAUUUUUUUAAAAAAAUAUAUGUAUUUUUUUUAAAAAAAUACAUUCGGUGAAUAAUUGCCCUUUUUAUAUUUCUAUAAAAUAAUCAUCUAAAAUUUUCACAACAUGGUAUGAAUAAUCAAUCUUUAUAUUAGGAAUCAGCAUGUGGAUGGUAAAUAGAUGUAGUGACAACUUUAUUUUCAACUUAUAUUAUUGAAAACUAAUUCAAGUAACGAUAGUUGGAUAUAUGAAAAGUAAAUCCAUGUCUUCGAAACGAAAUUCAAUUAAUCGCGUGUAGCAUAUAGGUUUUACCUUUGUUAUUUCUUUUUUUUAAUGGCUGCUGAUUGAGCAUGAAUUCUCCAAACCAUUGUUUAUUAGCAUAUAUAUCGCUAUAUCAAAUUAUCAUAGAGAAAUGAAUUUUUUAUUUUAGUUUUAGAAAAUAAAUUGAAUGGUUAAAGAAUCUAAAGUUAUUCUAUUCAACAUUUCUUCAUCAAAAGACCUUUAGAUUGAUUGUUAUGCAUAAUAAUGAUCAUGAUUUAAAAUGAUUUUUCUUUGAAAAUCAGAAAGAAACACUUUUAAUAUGGGGCGUUAUUAAGAAUGGGUGAAUUAAGGGGUAUUUAUAACAUUAAGGCAAAGAUUUUUUAAAACAAAAAUACCUUUAAUUAUAUAUGAGAUUUUUUUAGAAAGGGAGUUAUAUGAGAAUUUUACUCAUCUCAUGUUUUAAAGAAAAACUUUAUAAAAGUUAACAAUGUUUGUUUUAUUAUUUUUAAACUCAUGAUUAUAA
rnacentral:lncRNA from 1 species